rnacentral:tmRNA from 1 species
GGGGGCGACAUGGUUUCGACGGGGAUAGUUGAACCUUAGGUGGCAGGUCGAGCAACCCGAUGACUCGUUAAUCCAAAGGGACUAAAUACAAAAGCAGACUCAUACGAGUACGCUCUAGCCGCUUAAGGCUAGCAUCACAAUGUUAACGUGGCCCGCGGUGGUGUUGUGGUGUAAGCAAAUGGGCUGGCUUUCAUCGGUGGCGAGAUGACGGUGAAAGUGAGAAAAGCAUGUCGCUGGCUUUUGCGGUAGCCUGUUCAUUGGCGAUCGCGGAGCGAGAACCAAACAAUGAACUAAACCUGUAGAAGUCUAGGGGGAAGAUUCUCGGACGCGGGUUCAAUUCCCGCCGCCUCCACCA